AUUGAACGCUGGCGGCAUGCCUUACACAUGCAAGUCGAACGGUAACAGGUCUUCGGAUGCUGACGAGUGGCGAACGGGUGAGUAAUACAUCGGAACGUGCCUAGUAGUGGGGGAUAACUACUCGAAAGAGUGGCUAAUACCGCAUGAGAUCUACGGAUGAAAGCAGGGGAUCGCAAGACCUUGUGCUACUAGAGCGGCCGAUGGCAGAUUGGGUAGUUGGUGGGAUAAAAGCUUACCAAGCCGACGAUCUGUAGCUGGUCUGAGAGGACGAUCAGCCACACUGGGACUGAGACACGGCCCAGACUCCUACGGGAGUCAGCAGUGGGGAAUUUUGGACAAUGGGCGCAAGCCUGAUCCAGCAAUGCCGCGUGCAGGAUGAAGGCCUUCGGGUUGUAAACUGCUUUUGUACGGAACGAAAAGCCCUGGGUUAAUACCCUGGGGUCAUGACGGUACCGUAAGAAUAAGCACCGGCUAACUACGUGCCAGCCGCCGCCGUAA
rnacentral:rRNA from 1 species